rnacentral:tRNA from 1 species
CCUCUGGUAGCUCAGUUGGUAGAGCAGUGGACUGUAGAUCCAUAGGUCGCUGGUUGAAAUCCGGCCCAGAGAA